rnacentral:rRNA from 1 species
AUUGAACGCUGGCGGCAGGCUUAACACAUGCAAGUCGAGCGAGCGGCGGACGGGUGAGUAAUGUCUGGGAAACUGCCUGAUGGAGGGUGAUAACUACUGGAAACGGUAGCUAAUACCGCAUACCCUCGGAUGUGCCCCUAUGGGAUUAGCGAGGAGGUGGGGUAAUGGCUCACCAAGGCGACGAUCCCUAGCUGGUAUGAGAGGAUGACCAGCCACACUGGAACUGAGACACGGUCCAGACUCCUACGUGAGGCAGCAGUGGGGAAUAUUGCACAAUGGGCGCAAGCCUGAUGCAGCCAUGCCGCGUGUGUGAAGAAGGCCUUCGGGUUGUAAAGCACUUUCAGCGAGGAGGCGUUACUCGCAGAAGAAGCACCGGCUAACUCCGUGCCAGCAGCCGCGGUAAUAC